GGAGAGGUGGCAGAGUGGCCGAUUGUGCUCGCUUGGAAAGCGAGUGUACCGAAAGGUACCGAGGGUUCGAAUCCCUCCCUCUCCGCCA
rnacentral:tRNA from 1 species